CUAUAUUUGAAACUGUUGAGCACGUACUGCUAUAUUUGCCCGAUUGCCAUGGAAGUUUGGGGGGAGGUAGGAAUGACUCGUUAACGGCCGUUUCUUUUUUCAACAAUAUUUUAGCCAUUCCUGUUGUGGGUUCUCGAUGUCGACUGAUGAAUAUUGCCUGGAGCUUAUGGUUGCAUAGUAACCUUCUCGUUCGGAAAGCAGCAUGCUGCUGUAGGUGGCAUGAGCAGCGAGCAUCGGGUUAGACCUGCAGCGGACUAGCUUAAGUGCUAUAUAGAUGCAGCAGUCCCUAAUGAUCAGAGAGGUUCGUCUUUUGCUGCUAUUAUCCGGGCUCACUCGGGGCCUUUUGUCCGGGGAGUUUCCUGUCCACCACGGCUGAACUCAUAGACAUACCUGAGGCCUUGUCGUGGCUGAAAGAAGAAGGGUACGAUAAAUGAUCAUUGAGUCGGAUUGCAAGCCGAUUAUGCUUGCAUUGAAUUAUUCAACGACAGAUUUAUCUGAAUUCGGAAAUGUAUUACGAGAUUACCUUUUUUCUCAGUGCAUCGUUUGAGCUUGUCUUUCCUUUGUACACAUUUAACUGCCAAUAAAACUGUCCAUGAGUUAGUUCAA